GGAAACAAAGGUUCCAUAUAGCAUACUCCGACUUGAUUAGAACGAGGUUGAGUUCAGGCUUACUUCCUCUGAUAACACCCCUAAGAUGCGCAUCUGAAAUUUUUAGCAGAAUCACCACCCCAGUGAUAAUGGGUUGGUAAUAUUGUGUUUUAAGUUUUAAUAUGUUGUAUGAAGCUUAUAUGCACAUUACAUAAUGCAUAGCUGAUUUCAAAUCAUAGUCAAAACUAUGUCUCAUACUGGCAUAUAAGUGAUAAAUUGACCAAACUGCAAAAGAAAUAGAAAUAUCUUUAAAUCAAUAAUCCCACUUCUAUUCAGAACGUUUCUUGUUCUACUGUCAUUUAGAAAGGAUUAUGAAGCAGCAUGUGGAGAUAUUAUUAUACAUUCAUUAUUUAAGAUGUUACGACUUUAAGGGUUUGGGUUCUUAGAAAAAUGACCUAUUCUAUAUUUAUUGUUUUAUAUUUUGUUUGUAGAAAGUGCAACAUGAGUUGUUGG
rnacentral:misc_RNA from 1 species